GUAGUCCACGCCGUAAACGAUGUCUACUAGAAGCUCGGAACCUCGGUUCUGUUUUUCAAAGCUAACGCAUUAAGUAGACCGCCUGGGGAGUACGGCCGCAAGGUUAAAACUCAAAUGAAUUGACGGGGGCCCGCACAAGCGGUGGAGCAUGUGGUUUAAUUCGAUGCAACGCGAAGAACCUUACCUACACUUGACAUACAGAGAACUUACCAGAGAUGGUUUGGUGCCUUCGGGAACUCUGAUACAGGUGCUGCAUGGCUGUCGUCAGCUCGUGUUGUGAGAUGUUGGGUUAAGUCCCGUAACG
rnacentral:rRNA from 1 species